UUCCUCGGCUCCUCAAACGGCUAGAGCAGACAAGCCAGUCGCGACUCGCGAGUGAGGAGGCACUGAGGCCGCCGGUUUGCUGCCGCCCGCGGAAUUCCUGCGUCGCGCCACGCUGCUUUCCUCCCACCGUAUCUGAGCUCCUCAUCCUUUUCUCUUCAUGGCGGGGGUGGGGAUCUGCCUGGCCAGGCUCGUCGUCGAUCCCCUGCUCCUCUCCGCUCAGCAGAUCGACGCGCGGUGGGCAUCUGCCGGGGGUUUUGUUAUCUCCUCGUUUUAGUUGAUAAGAAAUUCUGGAGGGUUCAGUUCAUCCCACGGAGAUGCAUGAUUGCGGGGCGGGAGGUCCGGGAUUUUGUCGAGGGGUGGUACUGGAGGCGCCUGGAGUUUUGAUUUGUUUCGUUUGGAGAGACUGGAAACUAGACCAUUUUCGGUGA